UUCCCUUCUUCCCUGGGUCUAAACCUAAAACGCAUUCCUUCUCCUCCCUUUCCAGAAUCGUCUGAUCUCUGCUCUGCCGCUAAAUAAUCUGGUCCCUCUCCACCGAACGUGGAAUUUUGCGGUUUCUCUUCUCCUUCUAGGUUUUCGUUCGCCACAUCGAUGGAGAUAAUUUCAAAUUUGUUCUUCCAUUGCUUGAUUGAAAUCAUCCACGCAUACUAUGGUACUAUAUAUCCACAAUAGAGGUAUUUAGCUUUAAUGAUAUGGCUUUGGUUGAAUCUCAAUGUCUUAAUUGUGACAUGUACUUCAAAGAAUUUGGAGUCUGAUUUUAAGGGAAUGGCGCACAAGAUUCUGAAUUCGGAUUCAUUAUGACUUAACUUACCUUACAAGGAAACCCAAGUAUAUCAGUUAUGUCUACCAUAUGUUUAUGGUGCUGAAGUAAAAUGCUUUCUUAUUUUUUUCAUUUGAUUAUAUUCAGUUUGUAUGUCUUACUUUUGAUAUAGUUAGCUUACUUAUCUGUAAAAUGGAUUUGACAGUGGAUAUGUCUCAUAAACAAAUGUGUCUAAUAAUUACCAUGACGUGAGUAACAAACUUUACUUUAUAGUUGCCGUAUUUAGGUGACUUAAUAGCACGUUAGGAUCUGCUUAUUUUUUCUCAGAAUCGAUUUUGGCACCAUAAGCUACUCACAUAAGUUUCUCCCCUGAAUUAAUUGACUUUAGAGUCAACUUUAAAAGGAUUAUCAACUUUAGAAUAGACUUAAUUCUGUUCCAUUCCAUAUUUCCUUAACCAUGUGUUCGCUUCAUGAUAUUGAGCGCUUGAAAUCUGGAAAGCUACCAUUACGUGCGCCUAAUAAAGCAUAUGCCAACACCUUAAUAAAAGGGUUGGUGGAGGGAGAGAAGCUUUCAGAGGAUGGAGUCAUCGCUUACAUAAAAGCUGCUGCUAAAUCACUAUGAUUUGCAUAGGCAUGGCAUUGGCUUUGGGUGUAAAUCUUCUAGACCAGCUUACUGGUAAUAGUUAAAGUAUUUUUGGAAUGCUAAAUAUUGCAUUAGAGAACAAAUGUAUCUUAGUCUUAAUUCUGCAUUUUUACUUAUUUUAUGCCAAUUACUGCAUGAGGCUCAUUUACUUUGGUUUUAUUAGAUUCUAACUAAAAUGACUUAUGUCAGUUUUAUAUUAUUUUUAUCUGCAAUCCCAAUUAGUUUAACUUAACUGAUUUAAAUUGAUCAGACCUUCACUCUUAAAGCUUCAACUUCAAGUUUGACAUUUGAAUAUCUAAAUUUGACAGUGCUUGCUCCAGCAUCAUUUACUUUACCUUCUUUACUGGCUUCUUUGAAUUCACCAUCAACUCCAAUGAGCUCUUUCAUUGGGUUUGCAUAGUUUUUGUAAAGCGUUUAUGAUGAAAGAGGUCUUGGUGACAGGAGGCAGAGAUUCACGUCGAUUAUGAAUGAAAAUUAGAAACAAAUUUAUGAUGGUGGGGCUCAAGCAUUUUCUAUGAGUGAUCAUGGCAUUCCUAACUUCAUGUUGAUAAUUGAUUGAAAGGGCCAUAUUGUUCACUUUGCAGAAAAACUAAAAGGAUUAGAUUUGAAGUGCAGCAUGUUGACACCACUAUAUUAUAUGGCUUCCAGAAGAAGAAGCACAAAAACAUCCUAACACUGCAUCCGUGUGCGUUUAUGUUUUGUUUUAAGAAUUGAAACCAUGCUGAAACUAAUAAGAUGGAGUUGUCUUUCAGGAAUAAGCAUAUUGUUGUACAUAGAAAAAGUGAACUUAUUUUGCUAUAUCUUGGUGCAAAUUAUGCAUAGAAUUUUGAUCAUCGCAUACUAGAAAUUUGAAUAUUUUCUUUUCUGGAGAUCUUAGAAGUAGGCGGCUGAUAGCUCAAUUCCUGUUUUUUUCUUCAUGCUUGCCAUUUCAUUUAUCCUUCUUUUAAUUUUAGUGUCUUAAAUGUUUUUAGUUUUAAUUAGAGGUUGUGCAGCAAUAGAUUUUUAAGGUUGCAUUGUUAUGUUUCUAUUGGAGAAAUAGAGGACAGAUUGAUGCUUACGGGGAUACAUAAUUGCAUACUGUGGCUGACAUUUUCUGUGUGGGCAAUGGAUCAAUUGUGGGUUGGACAUAUGUAAGAGUAUAGUUUUUUCUCUCUGUAUCUAAUAAUGGUUCUAGAAGAUUUAUGCCAAUAUUGUCGAAGAGGUUUUGGAAGGUUUAUGGUAAAACUGGAUCAUUACUGCAUAUUUUCAUAUUUUUAGUUAUUAGUGUGUGUGUGUGCGACAAUUAAACUUUGUGAUUCCAAUGACAUUUGUUUUCCUUUGACAUGGGAACAAGGGUUUUGGCAUGGGAACAGGGGUUUAAGAGAAUUAAUUUGGAGUUGGUCGCUUGCUAAUUAAGAAUUUCAUGGAAAGAAUUACUUGCUGAAGAAUUUGCUGGUGUUGUGAAUGAAUUGGAUUGCAAUUUCUUAACACCCUCGAAGAGGUUGUUAGAUAGUGGGAAUGAGAGUAUUUCAAGCAACACUGGUCUUCUUUUUAGUUUCUUUUAGUUUUGUUUUGUAUGAAUCCAUAGAAGUAUUAGUAAUUCAUGGAUGUAGAAUUUUGGGUUUGAAUGUGUAAGGUUUUAAUUUCAAUUUUUUUUGUGAGAUUUAGAUUGUAAUUUCUCCCACUGAGGUUGAAUAGCAUGUGAAGGGGAAUGAAUUUGGACAAUCUCAUUUUUGUAGUGGUUGCGUCUAAAUUUUAUAGGCUCUCCCUGACAAGUUUUGUGGAGAAAGCAAAAGCAAAUGUCAUGUCUGAUGGAGGAAGAGAAAAAACACUUGAAUAAGUAUUCAUUCUAUGAGAUCAGUUCAAAUAAGCUCUUCCAAACUCAGCCUAAGAAAAAGUAGGCUCUCACUGACAAGUUUUGUGGAGAAAGCAAAACAAGGUAUGUCAUGUUUGAUAGAGGAAGAGAAGAAGAUAAUGGUUGAGGUUAAGAGCAAACAUAUUAUUUCCAUGGGAAUGCAUAGAAAGACGAAGGGUUGUGCGUAUUUGUGAUUGUAUAUAAUUUUGAGAGUUAAGAUAAAUGUGAAUGUGCCUUUACAGGCUAGAGAACACUACGGAUAUCGGGGUAUUUUUGUACACAGUCAUUAGCAAUUCAUUGCCGCAUAACAAGGACAUUUUACGAAUUCCUUUUUGACUGUGUUGCACUAUUACACUAAUGUUCUGUUUGGAUAUAGAGGUGAAAAUAAGUGGAAGGAAUAUAAGUGGAAAGAAUAUAAGAAGAAAGAAUAUAGGUUGAAAAUGAGGUGAUUUUGAAGUUGUUUGGAUUGAGGAAAGAAGAAUGGAAAAGUGAUGGAAAAGUGACAAGAAUGAAAGUGAGAGUAGUUUAAUAUUACUAAUUUACCCUUAUGGGUAAUAUUUGAAACAUUUCGUUCAUCUCUUAAAACA